rnacentral:ncRNA from 1 species
UUCAACACUGAUCUCCGAGCUCUUCCGCCUACGAGGUUUUCCUUAGGGCGGGCGGCCAACGGGUUGCGCUGGAAACGGCGCAGCCUCCCUUUCGGAAAGGAGAUGCCCCAUGUCAACC